rnacentral:rRNA from 1 species
AGAGUUUGAUCCUGGCUCAGGACGAACGCUGGCGGCGUGCCUAAUACAUGCAAGUCGAGCGGACUUUGUCCUCGGGAUAAAGUUAGCGGCGGACGGGUGAGUAACACGUAGGCAACCUGCCGAUAAGACUGGGAUAACCUCCGGAAACGGAAGCUAAGACCGGAUACGUUGGCGUUUCGCAUGAAGCGUCAUGGAAAGAC